AUACGUAGGGGGCGAGCGUUGUCCGGAAUGAUUGGGCGUAAAGGGCGCGUAGGCGGCUUUGCAAGUCAGUAGUGGAAGUCCAUUUUUCAAGGACGGAAGUGCUACAGAAACUGCGGAGCUUGAGUGCAGGAGAGGUUAUCGGAAUUCCCGGUGUAGCGGUGAAAUGCGUAGGGAUCGGGAGGAACACCAGUGGCGAAGGCGGGUAACUGGACUGCAACUGACGCUGAGGCGCGAAAGUGUGGGGAGCAAACAGGAUUAGAUACCCUGGUAGUCCACACUGUAAACGAUGAAUGCUAGGUGUAGGAGGUAUCGACCCCUUCUGUGCCGCAGUAAACACAGUAAGCAUUCCGCCUGGGGAGUACGGUCGCAAGAUUAAAACUCAAAGGAAUUGACGGGG
rnacentral:rRNA from 1 species